UCGAGAAUCUUUCACAAUGGGCGAAAGCCUGAUGGAGCGACGCCGCGUGGGGGAUGACGGUCUUCGGAUUGUAAACCCCUGUCAUCUGGGAGCAAUGCUGCUUCGUUAAUACCGGAGUAGUUGAUAGUACCAGAAGAGGAAGGGACGGCUAACUCUGUGCCAGCAGCCGCGGUAAUACAGAGGUCCCAAGCGUUGUUCGGAUUCACUGGGCGUAAAGGGUGCGUAGGCGGUCGGCAAAGUCUGAUGUGAAAUCUCCGGGCUCAACCCGGAAACUGCAUCGGAUACUGGUUGGCUAGAGGAUUGGAGGGGGGAGUGGAAUUCUCGGUGUAGCAGUGAAAUGCGUAGAUAUCGAGAGGAACACCAGUGGCGAAGGCGACUCCCUGGACAAUUCCUGACGCUGAGGCACGAAAGCUAGGGGAGCAAACAGGAUUAGAUACCCCCGUAGUCC
rnacentral:rRNA from 1 species